UACGAAGGGGGCUAGCGUUGCUCGGAAUCACUGGGCGUAAAGGGUGCGUAGGCGGGGCUUUAAGUCAGGGGUGAAAUCCUGGAGCUCAACUCCAGAACUGCCUUUGAUACUGAAGAUCUUGAGUUCGGGAGAGGUGAGUGGAACUGCGAGUGUAGAGGUGAAAUUCGUAGAUAUUCGCAAGAACACCAGUGGCGAAGGCGACCACCUGGACGGAUACUGACGCUGAGACGCGAAAGCGUGGGGAGCAAACAGG
rnacentral:rRNA from 1 species